AUGUAUGGUCCCCCAAAGCCCGGAAGUAUAGUGGUUCCUCCCUCUAACAAAAGAAAAGCUAGACCUGAUAGCUCCACAGAUGAUGAUGAUGAUGAUGUUGUAAACAGAUUUAAAGGUAUGAAGAAAGCUGAAUUAGUAGAAGAGGAUAACUCUGAUUAUUAUGUCCAGGACAUCUCUCCUGUGAAAAAGUCUACAACCCUAACAGUGAAAACCAUGUAUACUAUUACAUAA